AUCCAGCUAACGAGUCUCAAAUAGGACUAAACGUGCAUCCUGGAU
rnacentral:hammerhead_ribozyme from 1 species